rnacentral:rRNA from 1 species
GACGAACGCUGGCGGCGUGCUUAACACAUGCAAGUCGAACGGAAAGGCCCCAGCUUGCUGGGGUACUCGAGUGGCGAACGGGUGAGUAACACGUGGGUGAUCUGCCCUGCACUCUGGGAUAAGCCUGGGAAACUGGGUCUAAUACCGGAUAGGACCGUGCUUUAGUGUGUGCGGUGGAAAGUUUUUCGGUGCAGGAUGAGCCCGCGGCCUAUCAGCUUGUUGGUGGGGUAAUGGCCUACCAAGGCGGCGACGGGUAGCCGGCCUGAGAGGGUGUACGGCCACAUUGGGACUGAGACACGGCCCAGACUCCUACGGGAGGCAGCAGUGGGGAAUAUUGCACAAUGGGCGCAAGCCUGAUGCAGCGACGCCGCGUGGGGGAUGACGGCCUUCGGGUUGUAAACCCCUUUCGGCAGGGACGAAGCUUUUGUGACGGUACCUGCAUAAGAGGCACCGGCUAACUACGUG